rnacentral:rRNA from 1 species
UACGUAGGGUGCAAGCGUUGUCCGGAAUUAUUGGGCGUAAAGAGCUCGUAGGCGGUCUGUCGCGUCGGCUGUGAAAACUCGGGGCUCAACCCCGAGCCUGCAGUCGAUACGGGCAGACUAGAGUGCUGUAGGGGAGACUGGAAUUCCUGGUGUAGCGGUGAAAUGCGCAGAUAUCAGGAGGAACACCUGUGGCGAAAGGCGG